rfam:Felis catus isolate Cinnamon breed Abyssinian chromosome A2, whole genome shotgun sequence.
GCCUGGGUGGCUCAGUUGGUUAAGCAUCUGACUCUUGAUCUUGGCUCAGGUCAUGAUCUCACGGUUUGUGGGUUCGAGCCCCACGUCGGGCU